rnacentral:rRNA from 1 species
UACGUAGGGUGCGAGCGUUGUCCGGAAUUAUUGGGCGUAAAGAGCUUGUAGGCGGUUUGUCGCGUCUGCUGUGAAAAUCCGGGGCUCAACCCCGGACUUGCAGUGGGUACGGGCAGACUAGAGUGUGGUAGGGGAGACUGGAAUUCCUGGUGUAGCGGUGAAAUGCGUAGAUAUCAGGAGGAACACCGGUGGCGAAAGCGGCUCACUGGCCCGAAUCUGACACUGAGGUGCGAAAGCUAGGGUAGCAAACGGG